ACUGUGUUGGUUGUACAAGAUCAAGACAGAAAUAUGUAUUUUUAGUUGACAAAUUCGUAUAUAUUUAUCAGGUACAAUAUGAUGUUUUGAAAACAUCAUAUAAUGAAAUAUAUAUUGUGGAAUGGCCAAAUCAAGCUAAUUAGCACAUGCAUUGCCUCACAUAUCAUAGAGGGAUGCAAAAAGAAGCACAAAUUUUUCAAAUAUUAGAGACAUAUCAUUGUUGGUUCUCAGUUGCUUUCCCCAACACAUGGUGAUAGGGAAGGGUGUAGGGCACCUUUGAUGAGAUCACAGGUGUGGACUAAGAGGGGCUUGUGUGGCUUGGAGGGGCCUACCCUGGGCUUCCUUGUGUUACCUGUGGAUGCCCCUUGCCAAUUGGCCAGAGGCAUCUGAGGUGAGAAAUAAGCCCAUGUUGGCAUCCUUGGCAUCCUUCAGGAAGACCUGAAGUGAGAGCCUUGGAAAGUCAGGAUCCAACAGGAGGACAUUUUGCUCUCUUGAGCAUUUGCUGUCAAGUAUCCAGAUGCAGAAGUCUUACUUCCUGCUUUUCUAUGACAUCAUCCUUCAGAAGGCAGGGCAUAGGCAAGAACAUGAUAAAGGUAAGUAUUGCUCUUCAAAAAUCAUCUUUCCUAAAGUAUGUUUUUCGUAAUUUUACACACA
rnacentral:lncRNA from 1 species